CUGAGGUUUGAGUCGAGCUGACGGAGCUGUUGAAGGAAUCCAGCGUUGGGAAGAAUGUUUCGGUGGGAGCAAACCGCAUCAAUGGCUUCUGCGAUGGUCUGACCUCAUCAAGAUGGCCGCUGGUUCCAGGUUUGACCCACAGAAGUCUCUGGAGGUCAGCGGCAUCCGGCGUCUCGUACCGGCCGUCUCCACCGGUGCGUGGCAUAUCGGCCCGCUUUACACCCGUCCUGCAAGAACUGAACAGCCUUUGGUCUGUUCGAACCCAAAAAUGAUCUACAAAAAGAGUUUAAUAUCUCACUGAAUGCUUUGAUUAAAUGGGAAACACCAGCACAGAUAUUCGAAACUCCUAUUUUAUGUUCCAUGGAAAACAACAUGAAGGUCCAGAUCCAGGAGCAGAGCCAGGAAGUUUCUGUUGGGAUAAAUGGCUCGUUUCUGGACGAUACGCCGUAAGGCCGUGUGCAGAGGCAUGUCAUGAUAGAGCAUCAG